rnacentral:rRNA from 1 species
UACGUAGGGUGCGAGCGUUAAUCGGAAUUACUGGGCGUAAAGCGUGCGCAGGCGGUUUGCUAAGACCGAUGUGAAAUCCCCGGGCUUAACCUGGGAACUGCAUUGGUGACUGGCAGGCUAGAGUAUGGCAGAGGGGGGUAGAAUUCCACGUGUAGCAGUGAAAUGCGUAGAGAUGUGGAGGAAUACCGAUGGCGAAGGCAGCCCCCUGGGCCCAAUACUGACGG